GCGAGAGGCCCAUCCGCGCAACGAAAGCGAAUGGCGGGACGCUCUCCCGCAGGGGGGCGGCGCCGCCGGCCGGACGUCCUCGAGGCGGACCGAGCCGGAGCGCUCGCGUCGGGACCCGAAAGGUGGUGAUCUAUCCGUGCGCGCGGCGAAGCCGGGGGAAACCCCGGUGGAGGCCCGUCGACGGUACUGACGUGCAAAUCGUUCGUCCGACGUGCGAAUAGGGGCGAAAGACCAAUCGAACCUCCUAGUAGCUGGUUUCCGCCGAAAUUUUCCCUCAGGAUAGCGGCCAUCGCGGAAACGUUUUGACCGGUAGAGCGAACGACUAGAGGUACCGGGGCCGUAACGGCCUCGACCUAUUCUCGAACUCCGAACGGGGCAAGGAGCCGGGGGUCGCCCGAUCGGACCCCGGACGUGAAGUCGACGAUGGUCGGUGGGCUGGUUUUUGGUAAGCAGAACGGGCGAUUCGGGAUGAACCGGAAGCGGG
rnacentral:rRNA from 1 species